CCUACGGGUGGCAGCAGUGAGGAAUAUUGGUCAAUGGACGAGAGUCUGAACCAGCCAAGUAGCGUGAAGGAGGACUGCCCUAUGGGUUGUAAACUUCUUUUAUAUGGGAAUAAAACGUUCCACGUGUGGGAUUUUGUAUGUACCAUAUGAAUAAGGAUCGGCUAACUCCGUGCCAGCAGCCGCGGUAAUACGGAGGAUCCGAGCGUUAUCCGGAUUUAUUGGGUUUAAAGGGAGCGUAGGUGGAUUGUUAAGUCAGUUGUGAAAGUUUGCGGCUCAACCGUAAAAUUGCAGUUGAAACUGGCAGUCUUGAGUACAGUAGAGGUGGGCGGAAUUCGUGGUGUAGCGGUGAAAUGCUUAGAUAUCACGAAGAACUCCGAUUGCGAAGGCAGUUCACUGGACUGCAACUGACACUGAGGCUCGAAAGUGUGGGUAUCAAACAGGAUUAGAUACCCCAGUAGUC
rnacentral:rRNA from 1 species